AAAGAAAAAAAAUCACCCUGGAGUAGAGGAGAGCGAACGACGGAGAGAUUCAUGUUCAUGAUAGACGGGCCAUUAGAUAGACAAUGAUCACACGUUAACAAAGAUGAAAAUCAUGCAAGAUAUUAUUUAUGAAGAUAAUGCCAAUGAAGAAAAGGACUUCCUUCAUUACCGACAAAAACGGGACACACGCACUCUACAAGAGCAGAAAGAACUGUCACGUGACUUGCUGAUCGCUGCCAUCGCCAUUGGAGCCGUGCUUGUUUUGUUCUUCAUUAUUGUUGUGGUAGUUAGAGUGAGGAAGUACAUGCAAAACAAAAAGAAAGUGAAAAAGCAACCACGUGGACACGGACAAAAGGAAAAGUUACAACACACUCGGAACAACCGCCAUUCUAUCAAACAUGGCCGCGAGGAGAAGGCGUUACGCAGCCAUAGGUCACAGAGGUCAAAGAUGGAACCUAUAGCAGAGUCUGAAGCUUGAUGACUGACGAAUGUGAUAUACUGAUGGCAGUUACUAAUGAUUCAUUCUAGUGAACGAUUGUCCGAGUGAAUGAAAAAAAACCCCGACCCAAAUGAAAGGUUAUCAUCAAAUACAAUUUAUCUGAUUUUGUACAAUUAUACUCCUGGAAAAAUGUCAUUCUUUCAUUGAUCAUUUUGCUUUGUUAAAUGAAUUUAUCUAGCAAUAUAAUCGAAAGACAAAUUUCAAUGCAGAACAACAGGGCAACUCAUUCACUGAUAUGGAAGGCGUGAUUAAUGAUUUCCAUAACCAAUUUCUAGAUGCAUGAACUUGUCGAAAUUGCAAUCCUAUGCAAACAAAUCUGAAGUUUCUGUAAUAAAAUAGGACAAAGGAUUAUCUUACCAAUGUGUUUGCAUCUACAAGACUUCCCACUGACAAUUAAUGGUUUUGCAUUGAUCUGACUGUAUUUGCGUUAUUUUAGAUUCUUUUGAGGUGAGGUUAAGCAAGAGAUAACUCGUUAAUCUUUAUCAUAAGCCUUGAUCAUAGCCUCGAAACCUGUGUACUUAAAAGAUAUGCAUGUGCCAAAAAAGAAAAUUAAAUUAAAGACAUUUAUAACAAUCUCCAAUGUAUUUAUUCAUAACAUUAUAAGUUAUAAACAUGUAUAAAUGAAAAUGAACGAGUUUCAAUAAAGUGAUAAAACUUCAAAUAACAAAA
rnacentral:misc_RNA from 1 species